rnacentral:misc_RNA from 1 species
AACGCACGAGACCUGCGGACCUGCGGAAGGAUCAUUACAGAGUUUUCUAAACUCCCAAACCUUUGUGAACUUACCACUGUUGCCUCGGCGGAAGCUAUUGGGGUUACCCUGUAGCGACCGCCGGUGGACCAACCCAACUCUUGUAAUUUUGAGAAAUCUGAGAGUCUUAUACAAAUAAGUCAAAACUUUUAGCAAUGGAUCUCU